rnacentral:rRNA from 1 species
AUGAACCGUGGCCGCCUACCUGCUUUGGUUGGUGGGGGCGGCUCCUCCGUUGUGGGUAAACGAGAAACCUGACUCUAGGAACCCGAGGAAAGGUUGCACAGCUUCCGUAGGGGCGUUAAGACUGUGGAGAGGGUAUUCAGAGUGCUUCAAACUCGUUGGGGAAUUAUUCAUGGAGCUGCAAUGAUGUGGGUAUCAAAGACUUUGUGGUAG